rnacentral:rRNA from 1 species
AACGAACGCUGGCGGCAUGCUUAACACAUGCAAGUCGAACGAGAAGUUCGGGUCUUGUGGCGCACGGGUGCGUACCGAGUGGGAACUAGCCCUUAGGUUCGGAAUACCUCACUGUAAGAGGAGUUAAUAACGGUUAAUGUAUUCGCACCAAAGAUCUCUUGCUUUGGGAUGGGGGCGCGUUGGAUUAGCCGGUUGGUAGGGUAAAAGCCUAUCAAGGCGACGAUCCAUAGCUGGUCUGAGAGGAUGAUCAGCCACACUGGGACUGAGACACGGCCCAGACUCCUACGGAACGGAGCAGAAGGGUGUAUUGGACAAGGGGCGAAGGCCUAGUCCAGCAAUGCCGCGUGUGUGAUGAAGGGCUUAGUAUUGUAAAGCUCUUUUACCCGGGAUGAUAAUGACGGUACCGGGUGAAGAAGCUCCGGCUAACUCCGUG